rnacentral:rRNA from 3 species
GUGACUGCGUACCUUUUGUAUAAUGGGUCAGCGACUUAUAUUCUGUAGCAAGGUUAACCGCAUAGGGGAGCCGGAGGGAAACCGAGUCUUAAUUGGGCGUUAAGUUGCAGGGUAUAGACCCGAAACCCGGUGAUCUAGCCAUGGGCAGGUUGAAGGUUGGGUAACACUAACUGGAGGACCGAACCGACUAAUGUUGAAAAAUUAGCGGAUGACCUGUGGCU